GGAUUCCCCUCCGAAAUUUUAGACUAAAAUAACCCAUUCCCUUCAAUUUCUUCCGUCUAAGUUGGGGAAACUUACAAAAAAAUACUUCAAAAAAUUAAAAUCUCUCAUCCCCUGUAAAGUUCUCAUUGUUGCUGCCCUAUCGCGGAGUCGCCACCUAUGGCCGAUCCUCACCAUAGCGCCACCAACCCCAGGCUGAAAAUAGCAUAGAGCCUACACGAGCACAAGUUUUUAUUUUAACUCAUAAACAACGUAGGGAUGGUCGACCACUUGAUGAUGAGUCUUCAAGGACAAUCGACAUGAUAAAUGAAAGAUUGAGGAGUAGUAGUGAGAGAUCGAAUGACCAGCCUCCUUACAGUGUUACUUGAAAAGGAGAUGCAUAUUCUCAAGUGUUGGGAAAUGAAAAAAGUGGGUAUGUUCGAGGUUUGUAACUUGGUCCAACUCCUUCGAUACUGUGGGGUGGUAAAUCUUCCAUAGAAAAUAUUGUUCCAGAGGAUUUGUCUAAUGAUGUAUGAAGGUUAGAAUAAAAGAUAAUAGAGUUAACAGAGUUAACGAAAAACAAAAUGAAGAAAUGAGUUUGAUGAAACAAGAAUUAUUAUGGAUGAGACAAGUCAUGUGCAAAAUCGCUCCUAAUGAGUUGUCGUCGCAGAAUAUCAGUCGAUUCUCAACUGAACAAGUAACUCAACUUCCAAAGAUUAAGAUAUUUUUUCAGAAAUUUUGAUCUUAUGAAUUAAUGUUAUAUAACAUGCUAAUAUUAAUCAGCUCCCUGAUGCCAACAGUGACCAUGAACGAGUACCACAAGCGCAACGAAUGCAUAGUGUUAGUGAAAAUACUCUAUCUUCUCAUGGUUAUGCAACGAGUACCAAAAACAUUAAGGAUACCUACUGUUGCUGAAAAUGCUUCACUUUCUCACGGUCAUACAGUCUGAUGAUCGAUAAUUUAGCGGGUCGAAGAUUUCAAUAUGAUGAAGAGUUACAUAAAUUAUUUGAAGACUAUUAUUCGUUAGGAUUAGUCAUAUAAUGACAUUAGCUAUUUACUUCAAACAAUAUAAGUUUAUUUUUAAGUUACUGUGAUAUUAAUAUUUUGGAUUAGUACUGUCUUUUAUUUGUUAAGAUUUAAUGAGAUACAUUAUGUUUUUAUGAA